rnacentral:rRNA from 1 species
GAUGAACGCUGGCGGCGUGCCUAAUACAUGCAAGUCGAGCGAACAGACGAUGAGCUUUCGCCUUUGACGGUAGCGGCUGACGGGUGAGUGACGCGUGGAUAGCCUACUUAUUAUACGUGGAGAAUUUCGGGAAACCGCUGCUGCUACUAGCGCAUAUAUUCAACCGGAGGGUUCAGUAGUGAAACGGAGCUUUCGCGUUACUUAUAGCUGCAUUCGGGCCGCAUUGGCGAGUUGGUAAGGUAACGGCUUACCAACGCAACGAGGCUUAGCUGAGCUGAGAGGAUGAUCAGCCACACUGGAACUGAGACACGGUCCAGACUCCUACGGGAGGCAGCAGUAGGGAAUAUUGGACAAUGGGCGCAAGCCUGAUGGAGCAACACCGCGUGAGUGAUGAAGGCCUUCGGAUCGUAAAGCCCUGUUAUUAGGAAAGAAAAAAAGUGUAAGAAAAUCUCCACGUCUUGACGGUACCCAAACAGAAAGCAACGGCUAACUUCGUG